UCCCUGGUGGCUCAGAGGGUAAAGCGUCUGCCUGCAAUGCAGGAGACCAGGGUUCAAUCCCUGGGUUGGGAA
rnacentral:tRNA from 1 species